UUGACGGUACCCUACUAGAAAGGAGCCGCUAACUUCGUGCCAGAAGCGUCGGUAAUACGGGGGCUCCAAGCGUUAUCCGGUGUUAUUGGGCGUAAAGAGUCGUGUAGGUGGUUGGGUAAGUUAUCUUUCAAAUAUCUUUGCUUAACAAAGAGGAGGGGGAUAAUACUGCUCGACUAGAAUUUUCUCAAGGGAGAUCGGAACUGAGGGAGGAGUAGUGAAAUGCGUUGAUACCCUCGGGAACACCAGUGGCGUAGGCGGAUCUCUGGGAGAAGAUUGACACUGAGACACGAAAGCUAGGGGAGCGAAGCAGAUUAGAGACCUGCGUAGUCCUAGCCGUAAACGCAUGCUUGCUAGCUGCAUGAAUCUACCUUCGGGUGGUAUCGUGUGGCGAAGGUAACCCGUUAAGCAAGCCGCCUGGAAAGUACGGCCGCAAGGCUGAAAUUCAAAGGAAUUGGCGGGGAGGCACACAACCAGUGGAACAUGUGGUUUAAUUCGAGACUAACCGAAGAACCCCACCAGGGUUUGACAUGUAGCUGCACGUCUUAAGAAAUUAAGACUCUCUUGAAGGUGCUACACAGGUGCUGCAUGGCUGUCGUCAGCUCGUUCCGUGAGGAGUGCCCUUAAGUGGGACAACGAGCGCAACCCCUAUUACAUGUUAGAAAUGUCAUGUAAGACUGCCUUGCCAUUUGGCGGGGAGGAAGGAGGGGCAGACGUCAAGUCCGCAUGGUCCUUAUGCCCUGGGCUACACACAUGUUACAAUGAGUACGGCAAUGAGUCUGUCGCGAGCACGUAAGUGUAAGCUAAUCUCUUAAAUGUACUCUCAGUGGGGAUUGAGGUCUGCAACUCGACCUCAUGAACACGGAAUUGGUAGUAAUCGCGGGUCAGCUAUACCGCGGUGAUACGUUCUUGCCUCUUGCACACACCGCCCGUCAAACCAGCAAAGU
rnacentral:rRNA from 1 species